UGCAUACUUAGGCCCCACCUCCUUGCUCUAAGGUUCCAUGUUGUUGAAAUUGGACUCACAGCUGGAGGGUUGGAUGGCUUCCUGAUGUCCUCCACCCAGCUUGGCUUGGGGACACAAAGCAGGAGACUGGGGUAGAGUGGCCCUGUAACAGUGAACAGCAGCACCAGGAUCUUGGGACUCUUGAGAACAGCAAAUCCUCACCUAUGCUUUAUGGGACUUAAUUUGGAGGAAACACAGCUGGGUGCAUGGAGAUACUGGAGGCAGGAGGACCGUUGGGGAGGUCUCUGGGGUAUCCUGCUUCUGGGUCCUGACCCUCAGGGGAGAGCUCCCUCUCAGAGUAUAGGUCUCCAGCUGUGCCAGUCAUCAGCUGGCCACUCCCACUCUAAUGUAUAACAAAACACACAGGCUUUUCCCUGGCUUCCAGAC
rnacentral:lncRNA from 1 species